rnacentral:rRNA from 1 species
AAAGAAAAUAACAAUGAUUCCCUCAGUAACGGCGAGCGAAGAGGGAUAAGCUCAAAUUUUAAAUCUGUUGGGUUCCACUUAACAGAGUUGUAUUUUGAAGGAACGUUUUCUGCAUCCAGGAUUAGCCUAAAUCCUUUGGGAUAAGGUAUCAUGGAGGGUGAGAAUCCCGUUCAUGGUUAAUCUUAAGGAAGCUCUACGAUACGUUUUCCAAGAGUCGAGUUGUUUGGGAUUGCAGCUCAAAAUGGGAGGUAAAUUUCUCCUAAGGCUAAAUAUUGGCGAGAGACCGAUAGCGAACAAGUACCGUGAGGGAAAGAUGAAAAGAACUUUGAAAAGAGAGUUAAACAGUACGUGAAAUUGUUGAAAGGGAAACGAUUGAAG